UGGGGGAUAUUGCACAAUGGGCGAAAGCCUGAUGCAGCGACGCCGCGUGGGGGAUGAAGGCCUUCGGGUUGUAAACUUCUUUUGCUCUGAACAAGGCAUGCUUUUGGGGUGUGUUGAGUGUAGGGGUUGAUUAGCGCCGGCUAACUACGUGCCAGCAGCCGCGGUAAUACGUAGGGUGCGAGCGUUGUCCGGAAUUAUUGGGCGUAAAGGGCUUGUAGGUGGCUGGUUGCGUCUGUCGUGAAAGCUCAUGGCUUAACUGUGGGUUUGCGGUGGGUACGGGCUGGCUUGAGUGCAGUAGGGGAGGCUGGAAUUCCUGGUGUAGCGGUGGAAUGCGCAGAUAUCAGGAGGAAUACCGGUGGCGAAGGCGGGUCUCUGGGCUGUUACUGACGCUGAGGAGCGAAAGCGUGGGGAGCGAACAGG
rnacentral:rRNA from 1 species